rnacentral:misc_RNA from 1 species
UCAAGCUUCUGUUGAUGCUGCCAAUGCCUAUAAGAAGACAUCUAUAAAGGAGGCCAUUUCAUGCCUGGAGGUGGCAGUAAAUCUAUUUUGUGAUAUUGGAAGGCUCAGUAUGGCUGCAAGAUAUUUGAAGGAAAUUGCUGAACUAUAUGAGUCUGAUCAGAACAUUGAACUUGCUAUGAGUUACUAUGAGAAAGCUGCUGACCUUUUCCAAAAUGAGGAAGUAACGACUUCUGCAAACCAGUGCAAGCAGAAAGUGGCUCAGUUUGCUGCUCAAUUAGAACAGUACGAAAAGGCAAUUAAAAUAUAUGAAGAGAUUGCUCGGCAUUCACUCAAAAGUAACUUGCUAAAAUAUGGAGUCAAAG